GUGCUUGCCCCAGCAGCACAUAGACCAAACUUGGAAUGAUACAGAGAAGAUGAGUAUGACCCUUGCACAAGAAUGACCCGCCUUCCAUACUUAAAAUAAAUACUUUC
ensembl:snRNA U6 U6 spliceosomal RNA